rnacentral:tRNA from 1 species
GGGGCGGAUGUAGCCAAGUGGAUUAAGGCAGUGGAUUGUGAA